GAUGAACGCUGGCGGCGUGCUUAACACAUGCAAGUCGAACGAUGAAGCCCAGCUUGCUGGGUGGAUUAGUGGCGAACGGGUGAGUAACACGUGAGUAACCUGCCCUUGACUCUGGGAUAAGCCUGGGAAACUGGGUCUAAUACUGGAUAUGACUUCUCAUCGCAUGGUGGGGGGUGGAAAGAUUUAUUGGUCUUGGAUGGACUCGCGGCCUGUCAGCUUGUUGGUGAGGUAAUGGCUCACCAAGGCGACGACGGGUAGCCGGCCUGAGAGGGUGACCGGCCACACUGGGACUGAGACACGGCCCAGACUCCUACGGGAGGCAGCAGUGGGGAAUAUUGCACAAUGGGCGCAAGCCUGAUGCAGCGACGCCGCGUGAGGGAUGACGGCCUUCGGGUUGUAAACCUCUUUCAGUAGGGAAGAAGCGAGAGUGACGGUACCUGCAGAAGAAGCGCCGGCUAACUACGUG
rnacentral:rRNA from 1 species